rnacentral:rRNA from 1 species
UAGGGAAUCUUGGACAAUGGGCGAAAGCCUGAUCCGGCCAUGCCGCGUGAGUGAUGAAGGCCUUAGGGUUGUAAAGCUCUUUCGCCAGGGAAGAUAAUGACGGUACCUGGAUAAGAAGCCCCGGCAAACUUCGUGCAGCAGCCGCGGUAAUACGAAGGGGGCUAGCGUUGCUCGGAAUUACUGGGCGUAAAGCGCACGUAGGCGGCUUGUUAAGUCGGGGGUGAAAUCCCGGAGCUCAACUCCGGAACUGCCUUCGAUACUGGCAAGCUCGAGUCCGGGAGAGGUGAGUGGAACUGCGAGUGUAGAGGUGAAAUUCGUAGAUAUUCGCAAGAACACCAGUGGCGAAGGCGGCUCACUGGCCCGGUACUGACGCUGAGGUGCGAAAGCGUGGGGAGCAAACA